AACGGAAAGGCCCUGCUUUUGUGGGGUGCUCGAGUGGCGAACGGGUGAGUAACACGUGAGUAACCUGCCCUUGACUUUGGGAUAACUUCAGGAAACUGGGUCUAAUACCGGAUAGGAGCCAUCUUUAGUGUGGUGGUUGGAAAGUUUUUUCGGUGUAGGAUGAGCUCGCGGCCUAUCAGCUUGUUGGUGGGGUAAUGGCCUACCAAGGCGGCGACGGGUAGCCGGCCUGAGAGGGUGUACGGCCACAUUGGGACUGAGAUACGGCCCAGACUCCUACGGGAGGCAGCAGUGGGGAAUAUUGCACAAUGGGCGCAAGCCUGAUGCAGCGACGCCGCGUGGGGGAUGAGGGCCUUCGGGUUGUAAACUCCUUUCGCUAGGGACGAAGCUUUUUUGUGACGGUACCUAGAUAAGAAGCACCGGCUAACUACGUGCCAGCAGCCGCGGUAAUACGUAGGGUGCGAGCGUUGUCCGGAAUUACUGGGCGUAAAGGGCUCGUAGGUGGUUUGUCGCGUCGUCUGUGAAAUUCUGGGGCUUAACUCCGGGCGUGCAGGCGAUACGGGCAUAACUUGAGUGCUGUAGGGGUAACUGGAAUUCCUGGUGUAGCGGUGAAAUGCGCAGAUAUCAGGAGGAACACCGAUGGCGAAGGCAGGUUACUGGGCAGUUACUGACGCUGAGGAGCGAAAGCAUGGGUAGCGAACAGGAUUAGAUACCCUGGU
rnacentral:rRNA from 1 species